UGCAGCACACGCACAAAAACCAAAAGCGAAGCAACAAUUUUUCAGCCUCAAAGUGAUUUCAAGGCAACUCAUGUGGAUGCGAGAUGUGGGUGGUGGCCAACAAACAAGAUAAAACUUUUGAUUUAUCGUUGACACGAAGCCAAGAACAGAAAGAACAAGCAGGACACGAGAACCAGAGGACCAGAAACAUAACCAAAACCAAGUUGGAACCAAAACCAAGACCAGCACUAGGACCUAGGUCCUGCUGGAAUUUCGGCCAGCGGGAGGCAACUGGAAGCUAACUUGGCACAGAAAUGCUUGCGUCGAUAACGAAAGGCAGGCACAUACAGAAAAAACACUAG
ensembl:ncRNA lncRNA:CR45954 long non-coding RNA:CR45954